rnacentral:rRNA from 1 species
CAACUGUUGCUUCGGCGGGUAGGCCGUCCCCUGAAAAGGACGCCUCCCGGCCCGGACCGGACCCCCCGCGGGACCGGACCCGGCGCCCGCCGGAGGAUAACCAAACUCUAUUGUAACGACGUUUCUUCUGAGUGGCAUAAGCAAAAUAAUCAAAACUUUUAACAACGGAUCUCUUGGUUCUGGCAUCGAUGAAGAACGCAGCGAAAUGCGAUAAGUAAUGUGAAUUGCAGAAUUCAGUGAAUCAUCGAAUCUUUGAACGCACAUUGCGCCCGCCAGCAUUCUGGCGGGCAUGCCUGUUCGAGCGUCAUUUCAACCCUCAAGCUCUGCUUGGUGUUGGGGCUCUACGGUCGACGUAGGCCCUCAAAGGUAGUGGCGGACCCUCCCGGAGCCUCCUUUGCGUAGUAACAUUUCGUCUCGCACUGGGAUCCGGAGGGACUCUUGCCGUAAAACCCCCCAAUUUUCCAAAGGUUGACCUCGGAUCAGGUAGGAAUACCCGCUGAACUUAAGCAUA